rnacentral:lncRNA from 1 species
CUGCUUUCCCUGUGUGAGUCUCGAGACAGUCUAACGGCCACGACAAACAGGAUGGGAGGAUUCCAACAGUCAGCGCGUUGGCGUUCGCCGGAAAGUCCAGGUCCAGGUAAAGUCCAGGUGGAGCUAUAAAUAGCGUUAUUACUGCGGAUCUUUGGGGAAAGUCCCCGGAGGUGAGCGUGGCCGGGAAAUAACAGGAACUUCACACACGUGGAGCUGGACAGACUUAACCCUUUCGCUUCUAAACCGAUUUCCCUGCUCCACUGACACGUCACAUGGUCAGUGUUUGUAAAUAACGCCUGGAUGACGUGGAAUCUUGGCCUCGGCUCUGGUCAGACUACAUGACUGAACUGUUUAAAAUUUAAAAAAAAACAAACUUCGCGACCUUUAAACCCGCCUUGAUGUUUGAAAGGUGAACAUCUAGGCCAGGAUGUGAAAUCAAACACACUUUCCAUGUAAGUCUAGUAUACUUUGCUUUGUUAGAAUAAUAUCACGCGCUUUUAAAAACGAAUGUUGACUGAGUGUGAUCACCUUUGAGCUGGGUGGCCCGACAAGAGGUUAACGGUUAUGAUGAUGACCUAUGCGCGGCUAUGACGCACGGAAAUGCGAGCAUUGAGGGGAAGCCGCCCUCCUCCGUGUGGCUAUAACUGUCGUCACGCGCCGCCUUGCCGCACACCUUCAUCAACGUCCUUGUCCACCGACAUCGCCGACAUCGUCUGGCAUCACUACAACGUCUACAAUGAAGACGACGCCCUGUCUUCUUGCUGUCCUCACCCUCCAUACUUUGUGGUUCGCCGGGGUUAAGGUCUUUGUUGAAGGUGCAGGGGAUUGCCGAUGGUGUCGACUGUUGACGCGGCUGUCCAAGGAACAGAUGCAUCACCUUCUUUCAGAAUUGCAGACUCCAGCCUCACGCACAUCGCCUCGAGUAUCCUCCUCCUUCUCCUCCAACAGAAAUGCCAGGAGUGGCUCCAGAAGGGCGUGACCCCACUGCCGUCAUUCUGUGUGGAUGUCGGUGGGCGAGCUGAAAUCACAGCUGUGCAGCUGGAUGGCUAUUACCAGCAAUACGCCGCAGCUGUGUCCCCGGAGGAGCGACAGAGCGACCUGAGUGCAGCCAUAUAUUCCUCCGAUUCUCAGACAGGAGGCAUGCUGGCAUAGACAGUGUAGACACCUGGAGUCGUAGUCAUGAAGCCAGAGCAAGUCCUUUCCCCAAGUGGGGACCUCAAGGAAAAGCGUCUUAGUUUCGUAGUUACAGGGCUGUGCCCACACCCCUCGGAUGUUACUUUAUGUUUCUCUACCCCCAGAGCAUCCUUGUCACCACCUUAUAACAAAGACCUCAGAGGUAAAACAAUAUCUGUGGGGUGGAUACCAUUAUAGAACUUUGGAAACAAGACUUUUGUCCUGUCGUUCCCCAUGUUUUCCGAGGGCAACGCCUUGCCCUUGCUUCAUGACUGCCGCCCCAGACGAGCGAGGUCUGAAUCCCGCUAGUUCCGGGCUCACCCAAGGACAGGCACAGAAAACAGUUGGAAAACCGGUGUGAACUCUGUACAUGAAGGUUUGUUAGACUUCAAAACUGCAUAAUCGCUUAAUACCAAAUCAUAACACCACAUACAGCAAAACUCUUUCUCCUAUCCUCCUUCUAUAACGCAUGCAAACAUUAUGUUUUCAUGCACGCCAGCAAACAAACAAAGCAAAGUGAUAAUAGUAGCAAAAAGCUAUUUUUGUGACUGUACAACAUCGCUGAGGGACAAUGUUACCCCAGGUACGACAGGACAUGAAGUGUACAUCGACGAAAAAAGCAAACUCGUGUCACGCUGUUGAUGUUCCACUUCAGUGCACAUGCUCUUGUUUGCCUUGUGUGUGGUCUGAGAGUUGACUUCAUUGUAGAUGCCUAAUGUUUGUCGCCUCUUACAGUUAAUAAGAUGAACUGUCUGUCAUUUAAUGCUGUUAUCCCAAUAAAAACAUUCGAUUUUU